rnacentral:lncRNA from 1 species
GUUAGAUCUGGCAGAGCCACUGGGAGACAGAGCAGCAGAGGGGAGCUGAGUGACACUAGGUGAGAAGCUGUGCGGCCAGAUGACUUGAGCCUGGUUGCUAUGACAGCCAGGAAUUUGCGAACCAAACCAGACCUGGAGAAGAAGUCUCUCCUUGGCCCAAAGAGUUUGCAGUUCCAAGUGGUUCUGCUCAUGGUUCCUGUUGUCUUCUUUGACACCUGCCAGAUGGAAGAACCUCUAAACCUGGGAUUUGGAAAUGUCCCAACAGAAAGGCUAUUUCCAAGCUGGCUGAAGCUUGGAAAUAAAUUCGACGGAAUUUAGGUGUGAUAGAAGGAACUUCUUGGCAAGAAAAGCUGGAAAAUAUUACAAUAGGUCCCAGAGAGAACCUCAUUAUCUUCUCGAAAAAAUUUCUAUAUUUGUUUAGUGUUCUGUGGUUUGCUAAGCACAUUCACAUAAAUUAUCUAAUUGGAUCUUCACAUCCGCCUGGUGAAGGAGUAAAAAUAGGUUUCAUAAUAUUUGACCAAAGACAAGGAAAAUGAAGUUCAAUAAGAACAAGAUCAAACAGCCAACAGGCAACAGAACUGAGAUUUGAAACUGGGUUUUCUGACUGUAAAUCUAGCUCUUUUAAUUCUAUUAUGAUAAUCCCCCAAAAUAUAAAAGAGAUCACAUCUGA